GUUGCCAUCUUUCAGCAUGUGUAGAAAAGAUGCUUGCAAUGCCUCCGCUGCCUGUAUUUUUUCAACUCUAAGCAACCAUUGCUCCCUCGUGGGAGUUUCCACUUGUUUCCUGAAGGCAGGUACAAGGUAUUUUGCAGCAUUGAAAAGGUGCCUUAAUAUAGACUUUUUGUAUUUUGAAAUGGGCUAAGGUGUAACAACACCUGCUCAGCACCGAAUGAUUCUCUUGUUUCUUUUAUGUGCUCAUAUAUUCU